rnacentral:rRNA from 1 species
UACGUAGGGUGCGAGCGUUAAUCGGAAUUACUGGGCGUAAAGCGUGCGCAGGCGGUUGCGCAAGACAGAUGUGAAAUCCCCGGGCUCAACCUGGGAACUGCAUUUGUGACUGCACGGCUGGAGUGCGGCAGAGGGGGAUGGAAUUCCGCGUGUAGCAGUGAAAUGCGUAGAUAUGCGGAGGAACACCGAUGGCGAAGGCAAUCCCCUGGGCCUGCACUGACGCUCAUGCACGAAAGCGUGGGGAGCAAACAGG